CAAGAGCGUAUAUUAAAGUUGCUGCGGUUAAAAAGCUCGUAGUUGGAUUUCAGUCUAGGAAGGUUAACUCGCCGAAAGGUUGUACGUUGAUUUUCCUCAGACUUCGUCAGAAGCUCGUGCCGCACUUAACUGUGUGGUACGAUGUUCUGACCUUUUACCUUGAGGAAAGUAGAGUGUUUCAGGCAGGCUACCCAGCUUGAAUACAUUAGCAUGGAAUAAUGAAAUGGAUCUCGGUUCGAUUUCGUUGGUUCUAGAGCUGAGGUGAUGAUCAAUAGGAACAGGCGAAGGUAUUCGUACUUGAGAGUGAGGAGUGAAAUCCGAUGAUCUCUUAAAGACGAUCCGAGGCGAAAGCAUUUGUCAAGGAUGUUUUCAUUGA
rnacentral:rRNA from 1 species